UACGUAGGGCGCAAGCGUUGUCCGGAAUUAUUGGGCGUAAAGAGCUCGUAGGCGGUUUGUCGCGUCUGCUGUGAAAACCUAAGGCUCAACCUUGGGCUUGCAGUGGGUACGGGCAGACUAGAGUGCGGUAGGGGUGACUGGAAUUCCUGGUGUAGCGGUGGAAUGCGCAGAUAUCAGGAGGAACACCGAUGGCGAAGGCAGGUCACUGGGCCGCAACUGA
rnacentral:rRNA from 1 species